rnacentral:rRNA from 1 species
CCUACGGGAGGCUGCAGUGGGGAAUAUCGCACAAUGGGCGCAAGCCUGAUGCAGCCAUGCCGCGUGUGUGAAGAAGGCCUUCGGGUUGUAAAGCACUUUCAGCGGGGAGGAAGGCGUUAAGGUUAAUAACCUUGUCGAUUGACGUUACCCGCAGAAGAAGCACCGGCUAACUCCGUGCCAGCAGCCGCGGUAAUACGGAGGGUGCAAGCGUUAAUCGGAAUUACUGGGCGUAAAGCGCACGCAGGCGGUCUGUCAAGUCGGAUGUGAAAUCCCCGGGCUCAACCUGGGAACUGCAUUCGAAACUGGCAGGCUAGAGUCUUGUAGAGGGGGGUAGAAUUCCAGGUGUAGCGGUGAAAUGCGUAGAGAUCUGGAGGAAUACCGGUGGCGAAGGCGGCCCCCUGGACAAAGACUGACGCUCAGGUGCGAAAGCGUGGGGAGCAAACAGGAUUAGAUACCCGGGUAGUC